CAAACUCCGCGUGACUGGCGAUAGAAUCUUCGGAUUCAAGGUGGAACGACCCACCGGGAAGCGCGGAGUGUCGUUUUGCCGUUCGCCUGGGCAGCUGAG
rfam:Burkholderia humi Vandamme et al. 2013 isolate LMG 22934 genome assembly, contig: contig000001